rnacentral:rRNA from 1 species
UACGUAGGGGGCGAGCGUUGUCCGGAGUUACUGGGCGUAAAGCGCUUGUAGGCGGUCCACCAAGUUUGGGGUGACAGUUGCCGACUUAAUCGGCAAAGUGCCUCAAAGACUGGCGGACUUGAGGGCCACAGAGGGACAUGGAACUCCAGGUGUAGUGGUGAAAUGCGUAGAUAUCUGGAAGAACACCAAAAGGCGAAGGCAGUGUCCUGGGUGGUCGCUGACGCUGAGAGGCGAAAGCCAGGGGAGCGAACGGG